UCUUCAAAAUCUCUCUCUUUCCUUCUUCACGCAGACUCCCCAUUCCUUCUUGAAAAUCCCUCCCCUCACGAACGACGCACGACAAAAUCCCCAGCCUUAACCCCAUUCUUCUCAUCUCCACAUCCUUUCUUCUUGGCGACGGAGACCCAUGGCGAGGAGACCCAUAGCGGCGGAGACCCACGACAAGGAGACCCAUAUCGUCACCGAUGAGUUCUUGAUCUUUCUUUUUUCAUUUCUUCUCCCUUCGUUCCCCUGAGUAUUUAACUUUCUGCUCUGUUUCUUGGGUUCCCAUUCCCACUUUUUCAAUUUAGUUCCACUUUGGAGAUUUUGCUUUUUCAUCCACACAUUCUUUGUGGGGUUUGUUUAUUUUAGAGAUUCCUGAUGUUUUUGUUUUGAUGUUGUUAUUUUUUAUUUCAUAUGACUUCGUUUUGCAUGAUUUGGUUCUUCAUUAAUGAGAUUUCUUUGGAGUAUGUACGAUUUCACUUCAAGAUUUCAUUAUGUUUAUAUUUCGUUAUGUUGAUAGAAAGUUAUGUUGGGGGAUCUCAAUGUAGUGGAACUUAUAUAAAAUGUCCAUGCCUAUUCUAUUACCAUUUUGCUAUGCUAUUUGUCAAGUUUAAGUAGCUUCAAAGUUUAACUCAUUGCAUUUCAACAGUCCAAAAGAAUAGCUAAAGAAUAGCUAAUGAACUAAUAUUCACGGAAGAAAAAGAUAUGCAGCUUACAAUGUGUUUGAUUCUUCAAAAGUAUUGUAACUCAAAAACAUAUUUUAACUAUUUUGUGAUUCUUUAAAGGUAUAUUGAUGAUUUUGUGAAAUAUAUUUUUGGCUAUGUGAUGAAGCAUUUUUGUAGCUUACAAUGUGUUUGAUGAAAUGCCUCAAUGAAGCAUUUGGUUAAUUUUUAAAUUCUAAAGAACAAACUUCAUUCAUGCUUGUCUCAUUGUUCAUUUUUUCGGUUCGUUAUUGAAAGUCUGGUUAUAAAACUGUCAUUUUUAAGAUUUUACGCAAUGAACCUGAAUGAAAUUAAGUUUUUGGCAGUUGGUUUACCUGGCAGUAAGUUCUUUCGUUUAAUGCGAUGGUGACUUUUAUAGAUAAGAAUCAUAUAAAAUGUUUUCAUGGGCAAUGAUUAUGUACAAUUAAUUUCGUUUCUCCAAAUGAAACAUGGUGAACGAGUCCAUGACUACUCUUGUAUUGCGUUUAGUUGUUUUUUACAAUGGCUGGAUUUUUUUAUAUGGUGACAAAUAUCUAUGGAAUUUACGAUUUUGUAGUAGAAGGGAUGCACUAAAGGCCGUUGAGUCAACGAAAGAAGUAGCAUCUAGUUUACUUAAGAAGAAUUGGGGCCUGCAUUUUGGUCUUUUAAGCCUUCAUUUUAUUAAACUUGCUUUUCUCUCUAGGAAUGGUGAGAUCCCCCACCAUCAUCACAAAUUUAUACAAUCCUUGACCUUAAAACUCAAUCUUUGACGGUUAGAAAGAUAUUAUAUAUGGGCAUUAUGUUUAAACGACGGUCUGUUGCAACCAUCUCUUUCAUAUUUUAGUAUAAUUUAUGAGCAAUUUUUGUCAAAGACUUAUGAUGAUUAUCACUACAUAUUUUUAGGUCUCAAGGUGAGUAAAAUACAAGCUUAAGCUAUACUUUUAUUGCAUUUGUUUGUGACAUAUUGGUUUGGUUUAAUUCACUAAAAGAUCAUCAGGGACUUGAUUAGAAAUUUCUUUUAAAUUAACCACUUGUAUCCUAAAUGAUUGUUGUUUUUAUUCUAUCAUUAUUGUUUAUGUGUUUCCUUAGCAUAUAUCAAUCAGAUCCCCUGAGUAAAAGUCUAUUAACAUUGUUUAUGUCUCUAACUACGUUUUUUACUUUUUUUUUUUUUUUGUUGGCAACAACAAAAUGGGAGUGAAAUCAAGUGAAUGUAUUGAUUGAUCUAUGUAGAUAAUAACUGUUAUUAAUGUAUUGAAUUUGCAAUUGUGUCAUCUUCCCAGCGUGCGGGUUUCUAAUGAGCUUGGACAAGGACAUCCAUUGGCAACCAAAUAUUUUGUCUAUGUAACAAUAUUUUAGUCUUUCCUUCUUGGAUUACUUUCCAUGGUGAUUAUCUUAAUCAUGAAGGAUCACUUUGCUGUCAUUUACACAAGCAGUAAUUUCAGGUGUUGCUAUUGGAGUUGGUUAGCAAAUGUUGGCCGCAUGUAUCAAAUCUUGGCUCUUAUUAUGUUUUUGGUCUUCCCUUGGUUAUUUUCUUGGUAAUACGAAACAUUUUGGAGUUCAGAGACUGUGGGGAGGCAUGAUCGGUGGACUUUAUCUUCAAACCAUUCUGCUUCUAAUCACACUCUAUAAAACAAAUUGGAUCCAUGAGGACAACUCAAGAAGAUACCUUAAUAGGACAACUCUUGUUUUGCUUCUAUUUGCCACUAUCUAUGCACAUUCAAAAAGUGAAUUACAUUAUUGUCUUAGCUAUUGUAGGUUGGUUAGAGGGUUCGUAUUAAAAUUAAAGUGCUUUGAUUAUAUAUGAUGAUUAUAUAUGCAUUACUGCCUAAUUGGGCUGUAAGUCCCUUGUGAUGUUUUUAAACCAGAAUAAUUUUUUAGUUCCUAUUCUUGAUUUUCCUUCCAUGCCCCUCUAAUGGCAUCAUUCUACUAUCGGCAAGAUAGGAAGCUUCUUAGGCUUAUCUCUUCUCCAAUCAAUAAAAGAGUUGAUGGAAUUAGGGACAAUCAGAAGGAGGAGUUUGUAGUUCCAACAGUUGAUGAGGUUGUAGAUAUCCUGAAAUCAGAUUAUGAGAAUGCCUACUUUGUUACUGGGAUAUUCACUUCUACAAUUUAUAUUGAUGAUUGUCUUUUUGAAGAUCCAACGAACCAUCAGAUUUCGAGGCAAGGAGCUCUAUUCACGGAACUUAAAGUUACUUAUUCCCUUUUUUUACUGUCCAUCGAUCUAAUUACAAACAAUUAAUAAGAGUAACAAACUGGAGUUGAAUUUGUGCCGGCAGCCUGGAAACUAAGAUAGUUAACUACAAUCUUUUGAAUUACUUGUGUAACGCCCCGAAGAUCGAGGUAAGGGCACAGCGAGGGGCAGACCGACGAGAGGCAGGAAGGACGCGUGAAGGCCAUAUGGACGCGUCUGGUUUUCUUAUCGCUUCCGCUAUGUAUUUUGUCAGAAUAUUUGACUUGUGCUUUUGGAACUGUUGACUUGAGUUUUUGUUUGAGACUUUUUAUGAUUGAAUUUAAAAUAGGGCCCGAAACUGUCUUUUUGUAAUGUUUCUAAUGCUUUUAAUGAAUCGUAACUGGUCCGUUUUAAAUUUUAUGUUGAAUGGUCGAGUUUUGGUAUUUGGUAGUGACCUCAGCUUAGUCCGGAAAGUUGGGUCGUUACAACUUGUGGCUUUGGAGUGUUAGGAUCCUUUCGGGAGAAGACUUGUACUUCUUUUGAUUUCCAUGAUAUACUUGCUUUCGUGUUUCAUGAUAUACUUGAUUUUCAGGUGCGCAGUCUUUCAAGGACUUUAUGGAAUAGGUUUUUUUGUUUUUGUUUGUUCUUCAGGUGUGCAAUCUGUGAAAAUUGAGAUUGAUGGUAACAAACUGGUGGUAUUUUACUUCUACUAAAUCUUUUACUCAUGUUAUAAGUUGUGUUUGCUCAGUGUUUGGAAAUUCUUGUGAGUUUAAAACUUCAUUUUAGGAAUGUAUUUAUGCAUCACAUGGUUUGUAAGGAUUGAGUGGAUUAUAGAAACUAGAACACAAUGGCUGUGGUUUAUAGAAGUUGACAUUCCACAUUGAUGGGCUUGUUGCAUUGUAUAAACGUGAGGAAAGAUUUUUCUUUUCUCCCUCGAUCUAACUUUAGAGGUUUACCGAGCCCAUAGAGACCAACAGAGGUGAUAUUGUUUGCUAACUUGUGUAUAUUGUUCACUAUUUUAGAAGGCGAGGGAUGAAUGGUUGGACGUCCCUCAGAGGUGUGCUGCUAAGUAUAACAGGGCUUAGUGAGAUUCAGUGGGCAGCAUUUAUUCUAGUUUUGCAAGAAUCCAUUGGAGCAGUGAUUCCACAUGUGCGGCAAUUCAUUGAUUGUAGGUUUGGUAGCAAAAUUUUGGUUCAAAUGUACUUAUUUAAUAGCUUUUUAAAUACCAAAAUGUAUAUAUUCAUUGCUUCAUUGUACAGAGAGGGAGAGGGAGAGAAAAAGAAGGGAAUGAAAGAAGGAGAGAUAAAAACACAUCAACCAAGAAAGAGGAAUGAAAAAGAAGAUUAUUUUUGUUAUUAGUUUGAAAAUAACAAUAAUUUUGUAAAUACAUUUUCUAACUGUAUUAUUUAUAUCAUUUAUCCGCUUUGAUAUUUCAA